UACAUUGAUCACAAAUACGUGGGACUGACUUCACUGCACAUCACUGAAGCAGCCAUUGCAAAAAGAUGACUGAGUCCAAAAUUUGGAACAUAUGCUACUCCUACCCUCUGUGUGCAACUGGUACAGUCAAAGACCAUAGGAGAAGAACAGCCCCUGUUUGGAGCAGCACUAAUAUUCUCACCUCUGCAGCAGCUGUUAAACAUUCCACAAACAGGAAUAAUUCUUGUUACUUUCUUUUUUUCUUUUCUUUCUGGCUUCCCUCCAGCCCAGUAACCAUCUGAUGACUCUUUGCAGGAACAGCUUCAGACAACUUAGCUGAACAUUUCAUUUUUUCUACAUUGUCUUUCACUUCAUCUUCUGACUAGAUUUCUUCCCUGCAUCUCCUUUUGUUCUUUUAUUUCCCCAAACUUCAGUCUGCACAACAAACAUGUCAUGCUGUCUUCUGNCUCAUGAAGAAAAACUGAUGGAUGCUUCUUAGAGGACUUGACAAUCUAUAGUUUAACUUUUAAUGACUUUUAGUAUCACAUUUCUCCAGCCCAUAGAUACAACAGGCUUGGAAGCAUCAAUACAAACAGACAAACCAAAUGGAAAACAUUGUUCUGGUCAUUAUGUAGGGGUAAUGGUAAUGAGCCUAACCCACAAACUGAAUUAAGGUGGAUCACAGAAGAUUGGUAUUGUAAGCUGCAGGAUGCUGAACAAUGAGAUAGUGUGACCCUCUAGCUAUGUGAACUUUGAGUAAGAAUGUGGCAUGUGCCUAAUCCAUGUUGGGUGCCAACCCCACUAAUGCCAUGCAGAAAAGAAAGGCCAGAAGCAAGGAUGAAGUCAGCUAUCAAGCUCUGCUAGUGGUCACCCUAUUGGUUGCUUCUCUGAAUAUGACAGUUUUCAGUCACCCUCAGACCACUCCUCUCAGAAGGAAAAAAUAGCAGGAUUAUUCAGAGUCCUCCAGGAACAGCUCUGAAACCACCCCAACACAUAUUAUAAACCAAUGUGUCUAUUGUAAAAGUAAAACUUUAAACUGAAGUUGUAAACUGAGCCACACAUUGGACAACAAAGUUUGAAGAACUUCAGAGUGAUACAGACUAGGACCCUGCUGAAUGUCUGCUUAAUAUCUACCACCUGAGCAUGCACCGAUUAAUAUGUGAAACUAUCUUGCACUGAGUGAGACCAUUGCUCCAUCUAGCUGUGCGCUUCCCAGCCUCCAGACAUUUAUGUACCAUCUCCACCAUUUUUGCCACAUCCAUGUACCACCUGUACUAUUUUUCACAACUUAUUCACUAUUUUACUUAAGUUGAUAUGUUUAAAAUAAAAUGCUCAUCCACAUACCA
rnacentral:lncRNA from 1 species